UCGUACAACCCUCACCUGACUUUCACUUCUUUCAUUGGCCUGUCUAUCUCUUCCGCAUCUUUGUUGUUGUCUUGGCUAUUGUUGUUGCUGUUGGUGUGUGCGUGUGGGUGCGUGGGAGAUCGUCGUCGUCUCUGUCGUUGCUCUCUCGCAGCGUCACGAGCACGCACACACGCUCAUCUAACCAUCCCAUCGCUCGCUCGCUUUCUCUCUGUCUGUGCCCGUCUAUAUGCAUCACCUCCUCCUUUCCUUUCUGUCUUUGCCUUCUUUUUUUUUUUCGAGACCGCUGCUGUUGCCGUUCUCCGUCUACGUCUCCAACGUCACGUUCGCGGCAUCCACGUACAGGCGGGAGGGAGAGCAGAUCACAGCCGAACAGACGUUGAUACAUGCAUAGACAGAAGCCUCCCUUUCCCGACAUCAGAGCUCACACACACACACACACACACACACACACACACACACACACACACACACACGCACACACACGCAAACACACGCACUCUGUUCAACCGUUUUUUUUUUUCAUAUUUUGCUUCUCUCUGCGUGUGCCCGUCUCCCGCAUCGUUCUCUCUCGCUCGCACUGUAUUCUUGACUCUGCCGCUGCCGCGUGUGCCUGUUCUGUUGCGUUGUGCAGAGCAGCUGCCGUCUUGGUUGUUUAGCGUCUUGUGCGCACUGUGACGCCUGCGUGUCUGUGCGCACUUCUCUUGGCGUGCGCGCGCGUUCACCCCUCUUCCCCAGGCAAAGAGUGCAAGUGCCACAGGCAUACUGACGCGCACAGGUGCCCUUUCUCUACUGGCCAGGAGCCGCAUCUCUUCCGCUGCUGACUGGAUUGACUCUGGUGGUGGUGUGUGUGUGUAUGUUCUCGUACGCUGAUUCUCCUUCCUGAAUCUCUGAAUCUGCGUGUGCACAGUCGAAUUCGACGCCGACGCGGCUCAUCGCUGCAUUGUGUGCCCUUUACUACUUAUUUUGUGGUUGCGUUGAUCGUUUGAGUUGCGCAUCGGCACUGUAUAUCUUGUCAGCACUGCCUGCCGCCGCCCAUUGAUCGUGGCCCUCCUUGCUGUUGUUGUUAUUGUGGCUUCUCUCUCUGUCUUUGCACAGCUGGCGAGCUUCUUGUGCUGUGCAGUACUCAUCCGUGGCGUCUGCAGUGCCUUGCCUCAUCGUUGCCCCGUUCGAUUCCGUGUGUACUUCGAUCUCUCGCCGGUUUUCUCGUUGCGCAGCCGUCCUUGGUGAUUCCUGCCGUCUCUGUUGGCACGGUUGUGGUUGUCUGCGCGCCCUUCUCCCCCUCCCCUCCUUCUCGAUCUCUCCCCACCUGUCGAGUGCGUGCCUGGGCAGUGUGCGAGCAAAAGUGCGCACCGCAGUAUCGCGAGUAUUGUUUGUGGUUCUGUUUCUCCGCUUCUCACUUUGGGUUGCGAACGUCGCGGCACUUGGCUUGUGUGUGUGCGUGUGGUUCAGUGACAGCACCCCCUUCAGAGACACCCACACGCACUGGCACGUGUGCAUAGACGUGCUCUUGCUCGCUUCUAUACCUAUACACACGCAAGCGUGUCUUCUUUCCGUGUUUCUGCCAUCAUCUGCUGUUCUCGACAGGCCCCUUCUCCCGCCGGCUCCCGCUCUCAACCUUCGUGGCUGCUGUGGCCGUGAAUGUGAGGACGCUUGCGCGCACUUCUUCUUCUGUUGUGCUUCGACGCGAAAGGUGCGGGCGCGCGCGCUGUCGUGUUCCCUGGGUCAAGGGCGGAUUCAUCUGUGCUACGUACACACGCGCACGCGACCACAGACACGCUUGCGCGCACUCUAGUCGCGCGCGACUCCACCCCUCUCUCUCUCUCUGCGGGACCCUCUCCAAUCAUUUGAGCCCUCCGCCCUUCGCCCUCGUGCUCCACCAUGGACCCGCAGCUCCUUGUUCACCUCUUCGACACCUUCGGUGCGGACGGGCAGAACGGCCAGCUGCCAUGGGGCAUCUCCGCGAGCGACAGCAUCGCCUUGGAGGCGCAGGGCGAUGGCAUCCGGUUUGAGUCGAACGGACGUGAAUGGCGGGUGCUGCAGGUGGGCACGGCCGAAGAUGAGAUGAACCUGCCGCCCUAUCGCGGCGAUACUCAGCUGCGCGACGCCGCGCGGGUGCUGCCGCCGGUCUGCUUUGCUCCGCUUGUGUCAAGGUACACGCGGCUGCUGCGUGAUCCACGCUGGGAGGUGCGCCACGUGCCGCGCAUGAUGGAGGCGAUGCUGAACGAUCGCGUGCUGUUCCACCUCAUGGACACCAGCCCGCUGGCGCCGCUGAGUGACUCGCGCGUGAGCGCCAUGACGCGGUGGUGGGGUGUCAUGGGCAAGCCUGUGCUGCGGUACGAGAACAACACAGGUAGGCCGCUCAUGUCCCUCAUUGACGGCUAUGGCAGCCCUCCAUCUGCUUCAUCGGAUGCCGCGGAGGGCCGGCAAGGUGCGGGGAAGGAGGCACGCCAGCAUCAAGCUUCCGGAAGCCGCGAUGAGCACUGCUCGUCUGCGCGAGAGGAGCAGAUCGGCGACACCGCUGAUUCUGCUGCAGCGGCAACGGCCACCAGCUCGCGGAUGUCCCUUGAAGAGGUUCGCCAAGGCUACCGCGAUAUCAAGACAGUGCUCACUCUCAUCGCGGCGACGAGCGCGCCGUAUAGGUGCUCGCGACCGCCGAACGCGUCCGUAUCGGGGUGCACGGCACGGCUCGUAUUCUGCAAGGACCCGUCCACCAUCUACCUUGGGCUCCUGCUGAACUCCGCACUGCGCGGACUGCCGAGGAAGGUGCUGUGCAGCAUGUCCGUCUUCCGCUUGAUCGCUGAGGGGUGGGGCCGCUCGCCAAGCUUUGCCGAUAUCCUGCGCGCCUCCUGGGAGGAAUACAGCGAUAUCGUGCGUGACAUUCGCGCGCUGCUUGGCCUUCCGGAUCCCACGACGGAGACCCCAUCACCCCCCUCUCCAGUGGCGUCGCCGUCGUCCUUCUCCUGCAUGUCGGCCAGCAGUGGCGCGUCCGCCGCAGCGCUGUCGCGGCAGCAGCCGCAGUACCACCGGAGGGGUCGUCGUCGCCAGCUCCCGCCCAUGCACCUGCCGAGCCAGCACAGCGACAGCGGCGAGCAGGGCCGACAUUCGCUGUUGCAGCACCUCGGCCAGAGCACCGCUGGAGCGUCUUCUCCCGGCGCAGGCGUCGGACCGUCCACUGGUGUCUCGUCCUCCGCCGCGAUUGUGCCGCACACGUCGCUGCGGCAGACGCGCACCACCGCUGGAGGCCGCAUGCAGGCUGUCGAGUUGGGCAUACCGAUUCAAAGCAGCAACGGCGGCGGCGGCGUGAACGAGGAGGCGCGGCAGAGCACCGGCAACAACACGGGCGACGUCAACGACUUCGUGUCGGCGCUGCUGGGCAACGCUCUCCACUCCCUGAACGGCCUCCAAUUACGCAGAAACACUGCAAACGGCGUCGGCGCCGCGCGAGGUAUCAUGGGGGCUGCUGGUGCCGGCAGCAGCAGUGGUGAAACUGACGCCCCGCUGGGCAGCCACCCCGGCGUCAACGGCAGCGAGCACAGCAGUGUGCCUUUCAAGACGGAGGACGCCAACGCGAUUUGCCACGAGAGCAUGCUGGAGUGUGCCCAGACACCGGAGUUGCUGCUCUGGUGGGCACGGUGCCGACUGCUAGCGUAUCAGCUGCUGGACAACCCGUCUCGUGUGAGUGUCGAGUCCACAGGCGCACUGGAGUACUUUCGCGAGGUAUGGGCGUGCACGCCGCUGAUCCGUGAAAUCUUGGAAGAUGACCAAGAGGCGCUUCUCGUUGCCUCCCUCAGCUCGCCGCGGCUGUCGACCGACGAGCGAGAGUCGGAGGAGAUAGAGGCGGAGCGGGCGUCGAAGAAGGCGCGGCUUGGGGCGCUGCAGGAGCGGGCUCGGCGCAUGUACGCCGCGCUGGUCGGCGCUGUUGCGGAUCUUUCAAAGUUCUGGUUUUCGAUCCGCGUGGCACAGUCCACCGUGAACGCGGUCGCGUCGAGUGCGCCGGAGACGAACACUGUGUGGAGCAUAAUCAACGCCACGGUGCCGUCGCGGCGCCGCUUCCAGCGCGAGGAAUUCUCGACGUACGCCGAGCACUGGCAGUACGCGCUGCUGGUCGACGACUAUGUGACGCAGCCGAUGUGCUUUCGCGUGUCGACUCGAGGGCGGACGAUGGUGACGCAGCUGCUGCACAUCCUCGCCGAGUACCCCACCUUCUACCCCGCUCUUGUGGCGCGCACGUUGGCCAUGCUGAACCGGCGCGAGAUGAUCGUCGCUGAGCUCAACGAGCGCCUCGUCAACGCUGUGGCGCGAUGCCUCCGCUUCUACUUGCCGCCGAUGCCGCCGGUGCUGGCAGUGCCGCCGGUGCAGGCUGCGCCGACGAGCGUCUCCGCUUGCAACGCCACUGUAGCUGGCACAGCAGAGACGCCUAUGGCGCUGCGAGUCUCAUCGGCUGCCGUCGCGGACGUGGCAAGCGCCAGCACUGACGGGACCGCAGCUGCGACUCCUGUCACGGUGGCGCGAGCGCCCCCGACUGGCGCAGGCGCCUCGCAACGCUCGUGGUCCUCGCCAGAAGACUCAUCCCACUCGUCGUUCAGCAGCGAGCACGCAGAGGACAGAGCGGACGGAGACGUGGUCAGUGGCAGCGGUGCCGCCGCUCAAUCGACCACUGCGCCUUCCACUAGCGGCGGUGACGGUGACGCAUCGACGCGUGGCGGCAUCGACUACGAGGCCUUGGUUGUCGUGAGGGCCACGAGUGAGCCAGGCGUCGACUGGGAGCAGCGUGGCAACGGCGACGGCGGCGGUGAUUGCGGGCGGCACGUGCACAACGAAAAGAGCUCGACAGACGCCUCGUCGCGGAGGCGGAUCAGGGAGGAGGUGGCGAAGAUGCCCGUGAUUACAGUGAAGGCUUACGACGCCAUUCUAACGUGCCUCGACGUGCUGCGCAUGCUUGUCCGCAAUGGGCACAUCUCCGUGAACCCGAUGAACCUGCUGUUCACGGUGCCUACUGCCACCACCGCCUCAGCGGCGGCGUCUGCGUCGCUGCCAGCUUCCGUGGACCAGCAGGCCGGCAGUCGCGCGGGCACUGGAGGCGCUGUGGGCUCGGAUGCAGCAGUCCACUCCCCUGUCGAUGCUAGUGCGGCGAGCACCAGCGCCGGGCCGCUGUACGAGGCGUCGUUGCCCAAAUCCCAGUGCGACCUCUACACUCUCCUGCACCAGCUCGUCUACCAGACUCGCUACGGCCCCCUCGCCAGCGCCGCCCUGCGUCUCUUCUCUGCCUGCGUGCACUACAAUGUGCGCGAUAUGGUUCCUUUGUUCGCCGAGCGUGGCCUGCUGAACACGGUGCUGGCCAUCGCGCGUCGACCUCGCCUCUUUUCGGAAGAUGUAGCGACGGCUGCCGCGCCGCUGCGGUUUGCCCUCGAUAUGGUGGAGGAGAACGGCGUGCCGAACAUUGCGCGACGCAAACUCCCGCUGGAAAGCUCGACAUCGUCGUCGUCGUCAGCGCCGUCCCCGCUGCUUAUUGCACACCCGUCGCCGGAGCUACUGGUGCGCUACGUCCCCGCUGAAGACGCCUACGUGAACGCCGUGGCGGUUCGCAUGGUACUUCCAGAGUUUGUGGAGGCCAUGACGGUGCACAAGGCAACCCACCGUGUCUUCUCGAAGCACACGGAGUGGAUCACGGCCCUCACGCAGAGUCUGACCGUGACGCCCGCGAUGUCAGCCGCCUCGCUGCUCGAUAUCGAGGCCCUGCUCGACGAAUCCGCGGAGGCGUGCAGCAAACACGAAGCAGAUGACAUCUAUAGGAGCGAAGAUGCUGUCAUUGACGAGGACGAGGGAGGGUGCCAGGUGCCCUGCGACGCCCCUCUAUCGCCGUCCGAGUCACCGGCAUCGGUGGCACACCACGCCGACCCUGUGCAGCAGCAGCAGCAGCAACAAGGGGACUACCACUCCCCGCAGCAGGGCCGUCAACAUGGGCUACUUCGCUGCCGAAGCAGCGCCGCCUACGCACGGCUGCUCCAGGACUUGAAGACAGCUCGGAGGAGACCUUUGGGAGCGUUUCCGGUGCCUGCAGCGCACUCGAGCACCAGCAGCACCGACAGCGUGGCCUCUAACGUGCGUCACAAUGAGCGGCGGCCGCCGCAGCCCAUUGGCGGCGCUUCGCACUCGGCUGACGCGAGCGCCCCGAUCGACGUCGUCCUUACACGGAUGGUCGAGCUGCAUCGCCUGCACCUCAAGCGCGAGGAGGUGAGCUAUAAAACCUUGCAGGGUGCCGUGAAGGAGAUGCAGCGGAUGCUGACGGAGGUGCUGCAGCCGUCGCCACUCAUCACCAGCCGCUUCGCCCCGGCUCUGCGAGCGGAGCUUUCUUUGCUAAGUCAGCGGACGCAUGAGUUUGCGCAGGCGGUGCGUGCCGGGGCCACUCACCCGCACCCGUUUUUUGGGAGCACCGCGGACGGCGAUGAGGUGACCGUGGCCGGCCAGUCUGUUGUGGCCGGUUCAACGAGUGGCAGCGGUGCGGGCCCGCGCACCCGUGCCGACUACCUCCAUCUCCUCGUCCAGGCCAUUGAGGUAUGCCGCACGCUGAACAACUUCUUCGCCUUCUUCUCUGCGUUGGACUGGGACGGCCACCAACGCCGCUACCGGUUGAGUCGCCGCAGUGCGGAGCAGCAGGCCAGUCAGCAGGAGCUGGCGAUGGUGCUCGAGUCCACCGUGCGCGAUUUUCACUUGGCAGUAAACCAGCUGUGGUCUUUGAUGGGGUCGCACGCACCGCUGCAGCUGCGCGGCACGGACGCCGCGGAGGCGAGUGGCUCCACCACUGCCGCUGAGGACAAGGAGAGGCAAGCAGCGCAGGACGAACCCGACGCCACCGACCGACGUGGUCAUACCCUGCUUACCCGCGCCCGUCUAGGCAACCCGCUGCAGGUGUACGAGCAGGGCAACGCUGACGGGGCCAGCUCGCUGCUAAGCUACAUCCAGGCUACCAUCGGCUCCUACCUCCACGCCCGCAUCUUCGGCGACUACCUCCGCAGCGCCCCGCCGUCGACGCGGAUGGAGGCAACACUCAAGUCGACGGUGCAGUGCAUCUUGCACUUCUCUUCGCGCGACUUCAUUAGCGCGCCGGAGGUGGUGCUGACCCGUGACAGCGGCACCGAGGGCAGUGGUGGUGGUGGUGGUGGUGAGGCCAUGACCGACGCGGAGGGCGCCAUGUCGAAGACGAUGCGGCGCCGCUGUUUGAAAGCCAUGAAGCGCGUGCUGGAAGGCCCGGGCUCGGAGGCGCAGCGGCACAGCUCGAACGACUCGUUGCAUCAGCCUCCGAACAGAGCGGGGGAGACUGCGGGGGAGGGCAGAGGCGACGACGUGGAUGUCCAUGACGGUGCUCAGCACAGCGCUCACGAGGCCGCUGCAGUGGAGAGAGUGUACUACCACACCUCGGAGUCGCCUUGCAAGGAUGUCAUCUCCUCCGUGCUGCGGCCGCUGAGCGUCGGCGAUGGAGUCUUCCUGCGCCAGCUGCUGGAGGCGUGGCGUGUGUCGACGUCAGGCUCCAGCGGAGGCGGCGGAGGCAGCAACGGCCCCGGACGCCGCGACAGCGAGGCGACGCCGUGGCGGAGUGUCUUCAGCGAGGUCAUAGAGUUCGUCGUGGACGCGCUCGUGGUGCGUGCCUCGUAUACGGCGGACGAUGUAACGGGGCUUCUGCGCAGCUUGCAGGCUGGCACUCAGCACAGCAGCGUUUCCACGGGCAUCCUGUCUCUCUACGAUCGCAACGCAGAGGCAGGCGCCACCAUCGCGCCUGUGACUCCCGCGGCGCUGCCAGCGGCCAUGAGGGGUCGCAGCGGCAGCGAGGAGGAGACCAGCGCCGUGGCUAGCAUGGACGCCAGCGACCAGAUUCUUCAGUCGAUGCUGCAGGACGGCCGCAGCCUGCUGAAUGAGCCGUCGACGGCGUGGAUGACGGCAGAGGCCUGGGUGCAGGCAACUACGUCGACUGUAGGCGUGGCAGCGGCCGCCGCAGGAAAUGAGCCAUCGCCUAUCCCCAGCUCGGCUGCAGAGGUGCCACAACAAGCGGAUGCCGGACCAGUGGCUUGUGCAGAGGCAGCAGCUGCUGGUGGCGCCGCUUCUGCAGAGGCACUGCCGCACGCCGCCUUCUCAAUCGUUGUGCCAUCUGUGUUGGCCAACCCCCACGCAAGAGGCGGCGGCAGACACGGUGGUCGUCGCAGAAGCCACGGCGGCAUAAGCCGCGGCGCCGACUCCGAAGACUCCGUCGACAGCAGUACAACCCUGUCGUCUUCGCUGCCGACGUUGACGCCGCCGACGGCGCUCGCGACCGACGCCGUCGGUGAUGCGGCCGCUGUGGAAGGGCUGGCCGGGUCCGCUGACGGGGUUGGCAGCGGCGGCAGCGGUCUUGGAGGUGGUGAUGGUGCUGCUGCUUCUGCUGCCGCCGCGGCGCAGGCCGGUGCGGCGCCGCUCACAACACCGCUCUUUGCUCCAAUCAACGCAGCGAAGGCCCUGCAGCAGUGGCUGUUCCUCUCGCUCUUCACUGGCCGCCGCGCGGUGGAUCAGCCGACGCGCAACUUCUUCUACUUGUCUCCGUACCGACGCGACGGCCAUGCGCGGCCGGCACUGCCGCUGAACGUCACAGGGCUCCUCCGUACGAUUCGGAACGACUUGCAGGCCGCCUUUGAGGACGCCGUGCGCGGCGCCAGCGCUGACGCGGGCAACGUGGGCCCCACUCCCAGCGACGGCGUCGAGGACGAGUCCACACGGCAGCUGCACCCGUCGCGAACGCGAGCAAAGCAGCGCAACUCUCACGACUCGGACGACGAGGAGGCGUCCAUCGCAGCAGACCUGCAGGAGCGCUUGCACAUGUUUCGGCCACAGCCGCGCCACGAGAACCGGGCAGGUGCCACGGCGGGCAACGGUGACGGCGGAGGUGGGCAUGCCGCGCUCUCCUCCGCACGUGUGCACACGGCGUGCGAGUGGUUCGACCUGGACCCGCGCGAGCUGGCCGCAGUGAACCUACCGAACUGCGUCAACGUGGAGGUGUGUCUAAGGGAGAUCAACUUUGUGGCAGCCCGCCGCGUGCUGUGGGAGCUGGCGGUGCUGGGCGCUGUAUGCACGGGCGGCAGUGGGGCGGCGCCGGAGUUCGAGAGCACACCACUGCACGACAUGCUCUCCCGUGCAGCGCAGUUUAUGAUUCUCCUCUCGCGCCUCGUCUUUGCGGGUGAUGCGGAGUCGGCGAAGCGCGCUUCAGCAGCAGCUGGUGGCGGGUCGUUCACCCCCGCGACGGCGGCGGCAGCCGCGUCCCUCUCACCGGCCGCGGCAGCACUGAAGGAUCAACUGCAGCGGUGUCUUGUGUACAUGGCGGUGCUUCUCAUGAACUUCCUCGAGGGCUGCGACGCGCGGACGCGAGGGCGGCACUGCACCCACGUCGAGUCGCUCCUCUACUGCGUCCUUGAUGUGUGGCCGAAGCUCCCGGGGUUUCCGAUGGUGCCGCACGUGUACGUGGCGGCAAUGGAGGCGGUGGCGCAGCUCAAGCCGGAAACUCUAAGCCGCAUGUCCUUCCAGGCGCUGGCACGCGAGUGGCGGGACGGUGCCGCAAAGCCGGCGUCAGCGGCCACGACUGCUGCGGCCACUUUCAGCACGGACACGUCCCCUCGUCUGCCGUCACCCCAGCCGAGAGAGCGGGAGGGGACGGCGGCAGGCGACGACGACGAUGAGGAGGGCUGGGGCAGCGACGUGCAGCGCAGCAGCGCCGAAGAGGCACGCACAACCAUCGCAGGCGACGGCAGUCGCCGCUUCAAUCAAUCACCAUGGGCCCGCGCUGGACUCCUGAACAACGGUCGCGUCGGGGCGCCGUCGCCACGCUCGGGCCCCAUGCAGGAUCGCUUCGGUCAGUAUGUGACGCGUCUGCAGCAGUCACGGCGCUCGCAGCUCGGCGCACCUCUCUCUGUCGCGCAUGAGUGGGGGCGUGCGCUGCCGUGGGUGUGUGACGUCGCAGCGGGCCGUAUCUUCCCCUUGGACACACUGAGCGAGACCGGGCAUCGACUCCUGCGCAAGCGCGCGUGCCGAGCGCUGUGGGGCAUGUGGACGGGCACGAACGCGGCCGAGCAGCAGUACGUGGUGGCCUACAUGCUGAACCGUGUGCUCUCUAACGUGCGCGAGAAUGUUGUGUUGCUCGAGUACGUAGGCGUACUUCUGACGCAACUGCGCGGCGUCGUUCUGGUGGAGGCCCUUGCGUUGACCCCGCUGCCACGCGCCAUCGUGAAGGUGGUACGUCAGGCCAUCGAGGAGGUGACCGCAGAGCAGCAUGAGGAGGAGGCCCGCCAGCAGGCGCUGAGCGGCACCAGCGCUGGUGCAGCUGCGGUAGCGCAGCGCGAGUUCCGCCAGCGCCGCCGUCGCUACUACGCCCGUACACAGAUGACGCUGCACGGCCAACUUGUCAGCUUCCUGAGCGUCUUCCAGAACGUCCGCAGCGACGCUCCGCUGGUCGCCGAUGCGUUGGCCCGCACGACCGCCACGGCGCCGCACGUGCAGGCGAUGGGGGCGCAGUGCAGCUAUUUUGACGCCACGCGCAACACGUUCUGCUGGAACGGCCACCAGUGCCACCGCCAGCACGUCGUCCCUGUGAAUGGGCAGCGUGGGCGGGACGGGGAGGAGCACCGCUUUGGCCUGAACACGUUCGGCCCGGGUACGCAGCGUGCACUUGACGAGGUGCUCUCGGUGCUGGAGCACCACGGCUUCCCAUGCCCACUGGCAAUGCCCGCCACCGCCACUGCCGCACGGGGCGCGAGCAGCGCUGCGGAGGCGGCAUCGGAGGAGAAGGAAGCUGAGGUGGCGGAGGCGGAGGGGCGUGCUGCCGUGCGCCCGCACGGCUCCUCAGCCGCCAGCGACCCGACACAGAGCACUGGGCAGCCACAGGCGCACCAGCCAUCGCAACGAGUGGUGCGGGUGCCCUUGUCGGCGGGCACUGCCGACCCCAACACGGCGCCGAGCCGCCCACAGAAUGCAUACGAGGUGGAGCGACGCACUUGGCAGGACGACCGGCCACGGCGGGAGCGGCCCAGCACGAGAGGCUACGUUCCCGCCGCUGCCCAUGGCAACAGGGGCGAUGAGGGUAGCAACAGCAACCGAGAUGGCGCGAGUGCAGAGGCUGGCGAGCGCGCAUUGCCGUCGCAAGCAGCUUUGGUCACGGCGGAUGCCAUGGGACCGGAGAACUACCAGCGGCUGCUGCGAGGCGAGGGCCUGCCGUGGCUGCCCCUCUCCGCGCGACCCGCGCCAUCGUCGUCGUCGCUGCAGCAGCUCCGUGGCGGCCUCAGCGGCCCGCGCGACUUGGACUACGGCGGCGACGACAUGGACGAGGAAGCCCAGGGCGUGUUCACCCACCUCACCGGUGCCUUUGGCGGUAGCCGCCGCGAACGGUCACCGCUGCGGCACCGCCUUCUCAACCCGCUCACCAGCGCCGACUUCCGCGCCGAUCCGCUGCGGCGCUCCAUCAUUCCACACUGCGCCCUGUUCGGUCGCGAUGUAUGCGAGGAGGUGGUGCGCAUGGCAUUCGACUUCAUGGCCGCCCGGCUGCGCGACGAGGCGGCCGACAAGGCAGACGCAGAGGCGGCAGAGAGGGAGCAGCAGCAGCAGCAGGGCAGCACCGGCUGCGUCUCUUUGUCUGCCCUCUCCGGCAACAUCCGCUCGCUGGAUGGAGUGCUUUCGACCUCCCCGCAGUUUCCAUCGUCGCCGGUGGCCUCGCCUGUCUCCACCGCCGCGCUGCCCUUCUCAGGAGUCCUGCCGGCUUCUGCUGCUGCCUCCGUCACCACAGCGAAGGUGGUGGCGGCGCGGCUCACUCUCCCGCGUGUGGAAGUGGUGGAGUGCGCCGUUGACGAGGUGAUGGUGCACUUCCUGCUGACAUGCUUCUCGACCUAUUACACCACGUGCAUGCACCUUGUGCGCACCCACCGCCCGGCGGGGUUACCCGCCCUGCCAGCGGCCACAUACACGGCUGCUGGAAGGUCGACGGCGCCCGCAUCAAGUCGCGAUGCGUCGGCUGAUGUCACCAGCGGCUGCGCCGACUCGCUCUCGGUGCUGUGUGCGUACAUCACCCACAUCGAUCCCCCGAACCGUGAAAAGGCCAUGCUGCUGAGCGGGCUGCUGCUAACUGACAUGCUGCGCCUUGAGGAGGACGUGUGGCAGCACAUGGUGACGGUGCUACGGACCACCGUGCAGGUGCACCGCAAGGGGCGGCGGCUGACCGACAAGGCGUACGCUGCGCUGUCUGCCCAUAACCUGCGGCUCACGCGUGCGUCGGCGAACACGCCGGUGGAGCCGUCUUCUCCCUCGCGCGAGGAGGGCAGGGCGACUGCAGCGACAGCACGGAAGAGCUUCAGCCAUCGGAAACCCCGCCUUCAGACGCAUGUGUGUGUGCCGUCAGCGAACAGCGCGCCACACCAAGUACCCUCAUCGCAGCUUGCAGAUUCGGCGGAGCAGGAGGAGUUGCACGCCGACGGUGGCGCUGCAGGGGCGGCGAAUAACGGCGACGCCGAGGCCGCCAUCGCCGUGCACCACUACCUCAUUCCCAUCAGCAUCUUCCUCGCAAACCUGGAGCCCUACAUCAUCCGCCACCCUAUAGCUUUCUACCACGCAUUCCGUCGCUACUGCGAGGUGCGAUGGGUGCGCGCGGCGACGGGCGAGAUGCCGGCGGCGUGGCUGGGAGUGUGGGUGCGACCGCGGCCCCCGACAGCAGGUGCUACUGCCGCCGAAAGUCGUGGCCACAGCCCUCGUGCGGCGCGUCGACCUCGCUGUGGUGCGGCGUCGACGCCGUCGCGCGACUUUGUGGAGCGGGUGCAGUGCCUUGUGCAGCACCUUGCCCGUAGUGUCGAUGCUGGCCAAGGGCGCGCCACGCACGGCGCCAGCAUGCUUGCCGUCGUGGUGCAGCUUCCAGGCGUGUGCGAAGCGCUGCUCUCCCCUAACUUUGAGGUGCCAGUGCCGGCCAUGUACGCGGAGCUUCUCACGUCUACUGCCGGCGUCCGUCGCACCCCUGUCAGCUCUGCGGAGGCGUUAGCUGCUACGGCCGCCGUCAGUGGAGAGGGAGAAGGCGGGCCUGCCACAUCCGUGGCGAACGGCGACCGCAGCGCACCGGCCGUGUCGCGGCGGCCGCCUGUCAUCGCUGUGCCGCCCUUUCUCGCCCUCGCGCUGUACUUCUGCUCCGCACUUGGGGAGGCGGGUCGGAGCAGCAGCGGCGGCGGCAUUGGCGGUGUUAGCGGCCACAUCACCGGCAGCGUGGACUUUGCGACCGCCAUUUUCGCGCAUGACCCGAUCGCCGUAUCGGAGGUGGUUGUGCGCACGCUCGGCUGCCUCGUCGCGGCGGUGGAGGUGUCCGCCGUUGGGACGGCGCCGGUGGCGGAGGCCUCGUCUCAGGCCGUCGUGGGUGCUGACAACCACAACACCGUUGGCAGCGAUCGAGAUAGAAACGAGGAAGCCGUGGCUGCGUCUACACGCGACGGCCUCGCAGAAGCAGCAGCGCUGGCAGCGGCGUCGGCGGCCCCUUCGCCGGCGAAGGAGAGCGAACCGGCUGCCCGGCAGCAGCAGGUCGAGGCGAAGGAUAGAGUGCACUGCGCAAAGAAGACGCUCACACGUUGCCUGCAUGAUGUGCUGUGCUUCUUGGAGCGUGGCAGCCCGCAGCCGGCGACGGCGGCUCUGCCAGCCCGUCAGCGGGCCACUCAGCAGCGGAUGGGCGUCAGCAGCGCUGUGCAGGAGUCGUUCCUACGCUUCUUCGACCACCUUGGCCGCCUCGGCCUUCUUGAUCUGCUGUUUCGCGUGUGCUUGCUGCAGUCAUGCGAGCAUGGCCGCGAUGCAACGUCGCUGCUGCAGCUGCUCGCGCAUCAGCUGCUCGCCUUGGGCGAGUUCAAACUGGCGGAGAUGCUGUCACCGUCUCAGAAGCGGUACGCGGCGCAGCUGAAGGACAUGCAGCAGCAGCAGCAGCAUCGGCUGCCGCGUGGGUUGUCGAGGACGGGUCUGUGGAUGAGCCAGGGUGGUGCCCCUGCCUCCUUGCGCCGCCCAUACCCUGGCUUACAUGGGCCGGAGCUUGCGAAUACGCUUGACUGGCCGCCGUCUCAGCUGCGUGGUGCGGCUGAGCCGCCCGGCCUGCGUCAUGCCUUCGACCACCUGGAGGCGCUGCUCGCUCGUGACACCCUUCGCAGCGGCGGCGAUGGCGCCGUGCACGUAGCCGACAAUGUGCUCGAGAUCACUUCGAGCCUUGCGGGUGAGCACGGCAUGGGCGCCGACGUGCCGGACGCGAAUGCGCUGCACGCCUUUCUCACCUUUGAGGAGGAGCAGGAGGAGGGCGACGUGGAGGGCAACGGCAACGAGAGUGGCGACGACGACGAUGACGACGGCGCCGAUAGCGGCAUCGGAUUCGGUGAGCGUGCGGGACAUGACGGAGCAGCGGCGCGGCCCGUGGCGCCUAAUGGUGUCGAGGGCACCGACACGUGGCCUCCCAUGCACCCGCUGAGGCGCGCUGGUGGGAUGCGGUCUGUUCAUAACAACAGCGGCGGCAAUGAGGAGGAGCCGAAUGCGAGCGCGCAGGGUAGCGUGCAGCAGCGGCGCUCUCCACCGCAAGUGCUGUCCUCGCCGCCCGCUAUGGUCGGCGCGGCUGUCCCGAGCAUGCCGGAAGGUCCGCAGCAAGCGUCUUUGGUGCCAGCACACGACGAUGUCGUCCGCGGCGGCCUCAGCGACGAGGAAGAGCACCGCCAUCGCCGCGCAGUGGCGCUGGCGACGUAUGAGGAAGCGGUCAUACGCUCACUGCGCGCCGAAGAGGCCAUGGAGCGUCACCGGCGACGCCGACACGACGACGACGAUGCGGAGGAGGCGGCCGAAGAGGACGACGACGACGAAGACUACUUGAGCCCCGACGAGGAGGGCGACGAGGAAGACGACAACGCCCUCUUUGCCGAUGAUAUGGUCGACAACGGCGCCGACAUGGAUGAGGACGGCGACGUGGAGAACCUGUACCGAAGUCAGCCGGAGAUGUCCGGCUUCUUCGUGCCGUCCCCGCUGAGCUCCCCGCGGGCGGCCGCGGGUGGCGGUCGACAACGCGGGGAAGAUGAUGGCGAUGACGACGACGACAGCCACGCGGAGGAGGAGCACGCAGGCAGCGACGGCGACAACGGCGAAGACGACGAUAGCACCCCAGACGACGACGAAGACGAAGAAGAGGAGACGUAUGAGGAAGAUGAUGACGAUAACGACGACGACGAUGACGCCUCCUUGUACUACGACGGCGCGGGGCACUUGCUGUCGGGGAGGGACCACCUCGAGGAUGCUCUGCUGGACAUGUAUUCGCCAGAGAUGGCUGCUGGCGGCGGCGACUCCGGCGCCUUGAGCCAUGGCCUGGCACAGCAGACGGCUGGCAGCCUCACAUACCUCAACGACGACCCGGUUGGGCGCCCAGCAGCAACGGCUACGGCGAUGGAGCGGGCACAGAGUUUUGCAGCGUGCGCUUAUCGCGCCAUCUUGCUGGCAGUGCGCCCGCUGGCGGCUCAUAACGUGGUGGAGACGGAGACGCCGCCGCUGCCGGUGCUGCACGCCUUCGAGGAGGAGGCGCCGGCUGCAAGUCGGCAUAGUGGCGACGGCAAUGACGGCAGCGCCGACCUGGCGUACCGGUUAUUGGCGGAGGUACGCCAGCGCAGCGUUGGCACCACCAACGACUCUGGCAGUCCUUCCCCUCAGCACCAUCCUGCCACGUUGCGCGUCACUACCACCGUGACACCGACGUCCGCGUUGCAGCAGCCGCGGCGCCGCCUGCUGUCGUCCACCACUUUGCCAUCGCCCUUCUCGGCGGCGGCUGGGGCGGAGAACACCCCGAGCGACCAGGUCAUGCGUCGCGGACGCGACUCACGCUCGCCUUUGGAUGUCACAGCGCCAAGCACCAGGACCCAGGGUGCAGCUGCCGCCGAGAGCGCUUCGCUCGAUGCGACGUCUCCCACGACCGCUGGCACGUCGCAGCGACCAGCACCCGAAGCAGGUAACACAGCAGGCGCGGCGGAGGUACAGACAGAGCCAACCACAAUCAGCGAGGCUGAUACAAGUAUCGACGUGCUCACUGCACGCAUCCUGGCUCUUUUCGCGGCGGGCGACGCCAACGCCCGCACCACUUCCUCGGCAGAGUCACUACCGCCGCAGGUUUCCGCGGAGAGAGCAUCCGCUACGUUGGAGCAGCCGACGAACACAGCUGCAGCAACUGCCGCUACUCCGGCUCCAGCGCCACCAGCGGCACCGGAGCCGUGGGAGGGCACCCUCAACCCACAGUUUCUGAUUGAGAUGCCCGAAGAUGUCCGCAGCGAGAUCUUGUUCGACAGCAUGAACCUGCUCCGCGGCGCCGACGAGCGUGAGGUGCGAGGGCAGCGCAGCCGUCUGUACCCGGGCUUUCUGAACUCGAUGCCGGAGGAUGCGCAGCGGCACGCCAUGGAGGUGGAGGCGCGGUGGGUGCGGGUGACAGGCGCCGACAACAACGCCAGCGAACUUUACCAAACGCUGCUCCUCGUCGAUGCCGAGACACGCCGCGACCUUCUGCUGCAAUGCGACCUCGAGCUUCUUCGCUCCUACCCUGAGGUGCUGCGGGAGGCGACGGAGUUACGCGCCGAGGUGGAGCGGGCGCGCGAGGAGGCUGAGCAGGCCGCGCAGCGCGAGCAGGAGCGGCGCCAGCACCAGCGCGAGCAGGCAGAGCAACUGCAGCAGCAGCAGCAGCAGGCGAGCCAGCGCCAGUCGCGCUUGUGGAUGCUGGGUGCCUGGGAUACCACGCGGGACGCAAGGGGCAGCGGUGCAACAGCGGCGGCGACGGCAGCGACCGUUGCGUCGGGCAUCCGCACCAGCUUGCCGGCUCUGCGCGACAUGGAGACGGUCGAGGGGGUCAUGCGAGUCCUGUUCGGCUCCCCCACCCCGCUGUACGAGGUGGUGAACCACGAACUCUUCUUGGCACGCCGGCUGUACCGGUGCGAGGUGGUGCUGCAGGCUCUCGAGCCUCCGACGUCUUCGUUUAUAUCGCACUCCAUGAGUCUGUACCCAGGCAGAGGAGCGGAGGUGAGCGCUCCCGGGCUCAUGCUGUCGCCGCUGCGCGACGAUGAUGCGAUGCGUGAGGUCAUGACGUUUAACCACCGGCAUGGUGUGCACCGUGGCGGCAACGCGAUGGCGCGCCGCGCUCCGCCACGCGGUGCCCAGAUGGCAGCUGCGAGCGGCACCGCUGGUGUGGGUCACUACCAUCUUCCGCAGUUUCCGUCGUUGCAGCUGCCACCGUCCGCGGACUUGGUGGCAUCAGACUCGUCUGUGUCACCACUGUCCCCGCCACCGCAUACGCUGCCGAGCGGCGGCGGUGGCGGCUUCGCCGCCGAGCGCUCCGCCUCCGGAUCGCACGCGGCGGCGGCGCCGUCGACGUCGCUCGCAGCGCUGAGCGAGUCCAUGGUGCCAGUGCAGGAAACAGUGUACCACCCGCUCGCCCUUCCCUUACCUGAUGUGCCAGAGGAUGUUGUUGCUCGCUGCAUCGAGCUGCUACGGCUGCGGGCGACGGCGCCGCUGGCGCUGCCGUGCAACCUACUGACGGGCAUCAGCUGCCUGGAUCAGGAGCUACAGCGCUUCAUGCAGCUGCUCAUGUCAGACACAAGCACGGCGGUGCGAAUCGCCUGCCAACUGCUGGACUUGAUGGCAGCCACGCCGACGUCGACAGCGGAGGAUGCGCUGCCCGACAGCGCCGCUGGCUUCGGCAGGGUCGCCACUGCUACCACCAACGCCAGGGCCGCCGCUCGCGCGUCACCGUCCACGCUCGCUACCCCGUCGUCCCACUUCUCGCGCCCUUUGUCGGCGAGCGAACUGGCCGCGAACCGGCAGUUCGUCAAAGACGCCACGACGCUCCUCGUGUCCCUCGUGAAGCAGAACCAAGCCAUGGUGUCCGCCUUUUUCCUGUUACCCGAUAACACCGUUGACACAGCCACUCUGAAACCGCUUGACGCCCCGUUGGACGCGGCUGAGCAACGCGCGGUGCAGCACGGCCUGUGGAACCGACUGUGGCGAGUCGCACGGCAGCACGUGCACGUGCCCAGCUUUGCGCUGGCAUUGGACAAGCUGCUGCAGCAGCUUCUGCGCUGCCAGCGCUCCAUGUCGACCGCCUCAGAGGACAACGAGUUGGCCAGCGGCGCCGACCCCAACGCCAGCGAGCCGCUCACGGAGACUCUCAUCGCGCACCCGCGGCAUCCGCACCGACUUCGGUGGACCAACAUCCGCCUCCUGUCCAACUACGAGGAUGGCGGCUACGUGUGCAACGUGUGCGGUGUCAACCCGGGUUUUGACUACUGCUUCCACUGCUCCUCCUGUCAGUUCGACCUCUGCGCCAACUGCUCGCGCGAGCGCCUGACGCUCGCGGAGAUGCAGCAGCGCACGCGGCGGGCGGCAGCCCUCAUGCUGCAAAACGUGCCAGAGACGGUCACCUCGAUGAUGCGGCUGCUGCGACACCCGCUCUGCCGGUCCGACGUUUCGAUGAACGUGGUGCAUCUCAUGUCGUUCGGUCUGCAAGAGUGCGGGGCGCGUGAGAGCGUUAGCUUGUUCUCUGGUGACGCCGCCGCUGCCGGCAGCGGCGGCGUCGGCUCUGCGACGGCCGUGCCACCUUUUCUACACUCCGCCUCCGGGUCGUUGCACAGCGGCACUAGCAGUGCACGGGUAAGCCCCAUUCAGCUCCUGGAGCAGGAGCUCGUCGAGCUGGCCGACGCCAGGGUGCGUGCGUUGAAGGCGGCGCGAGACGAGUUCCGCCAGGAGGUGUACGCGAUCCUGCACCCGAGGCCCAGCAGCAACGGCCACAGUGCCGGGGUCGGCGUGACUGCGUCUGCCCCGCCGAGGUCGCAGUCAGACGGUGACACAAACGUGAGCGGGCUCUCUGGCCGCCACACAUGGCAGCAGCUGAGCAUCCCAGAGGGCUACGUAUUCGACACCGACACUGUCAUGGCGCUUCUCGUCAAGCUCGACAUCAAGAACAGCGAGGGCGACGCCAUCCAGCUGCUCUUUGAACCCUACGUGGCCACCAUGCGCUCCGAGCCGCGCGCCUUCACGAUGCUGUGGCGGGCAAGCCAGGCGUACCUGCUCGACGUGUCGACGCUGCUGGAGCACGUGGCACCGAAAGAGGUCCUCCCGCUGCCCUCGUGCGUCUCAUCUAUCCUCCAAACCUUCUGCAAGUACCACCUGAGCGAGUCACGGCUGCUCGGCGCCUCUUCGAGCGCACGCACCCUGACGGACAGUCGCAGCAGCUUAGCUGGAGAGACGGAGCACUUCCUGCACGCCUCGACGAAGCCGUCAUCCGUGUCGGACCGUGCGGUGCGCGAGUUGGCAGAGCGGCCGGAUGCUGCGCAGAGGAUGACGGCCGCCGGCACGCGGUUGUCCGAAGAAGGGCUGAAGAGCGCCGAGGAGCUGCAGCACCGUCGGCUGCCGCGUGCAGUGCGGAUGGUGCUGGAGGAGAACCGCACGACGCUGAACACGCUCCUGCACUGGGACGGUAAUCUCCUGAAGGACAGCUUUGCCUUUCUCAAGUACGAGCCGAACUUGAUCGACUUCAACUUCAAGCUGACGGACUUCCGGCGGCGGCUGGGCUCGCGGCGUGGGCCGAACAUUCUGCUGCGCGUGAACCGCCAGACUUGCCUGCUCGAUAGCUUCAAGGAGCUGCAGAAGGUAAAGUCAUUUGGCGGCCAGCUGCACAUCCGCUUCCAUGGCGAGGAAGGCGCCGACGCCGGCGGCCUGACGCGGGAGUGGCUGCAGCUCCUCUCCGAGGCCAUUGUGGACGAGAGGUACGCACUCUUCAUCCACUCGCAGGAUAGCAUUUCUUUUCAGCCGAACCCGUUCUCCAGCGUCAACCCGAACCACCUCGAGUACUUCCAGUUUGCGGGCGUCGUGACAGGGCUGGCGAUCGCGCACAACGUCCCCAUCGAUAUCCACUUCACGCGCGCGUUCUACCGGCACAUCAUCGGCCACCGCCCUGUCUUCUCCGACCUGCAGAGCUUCGACCCGGAGCUGUACACAAACCUCAACUGGAUCAUGGAGAACGACGUCACAGACCUUGGCCUGACCUUCGCCGUCAACUAUGACCGCUUCGGCUCGGUGGAGGAGGCGGAGCUGGAGCCGAACGGCCAGGACACGGCCGUGACGAACGCGAACAAGCAGCAGUAUGUCCGCCUCCUGUGCGAGUUUUAUAUGACCAAGCGCACGGAGGAUCAGCUGCUGCGCUUCCUGAAGGGCUUCUAUUCGGUGAUCCCCCGCCGCGAGAUCCAGUGCUUCACGGAGAAGGAACUGGAGCUGGUCAUCAGUGGCAUGCCCAACAUCGACGUCGAGGACCUGCGCACGCACACCGUAUACGAGGGCUACAGCAGCACGUCGCCGCAGGUGCGCUGGUUCUGGGAGGCGGUCGGCUCCAUGAGCAAGGAGGACCUGGCGAACCUUCUGCAGUUUACGACCGGCUCGUCAAAGGUGCCACACGGCGGCUUCGGCCAUCUCGAGGGAUCGAACGGCCGCUCGCUGCCCUUCACAAUAAGCCGCUGGGCCGUAACUAAGGAAGACCUCCUGCCGCAGGCGCACACGUGCUUCAACAAGAUCGACCUGCCUGUCUACACUUCAGCUGCGGUGCUCAAGGAAAAGCUGAUGCUGGCGAUCACGUACGGUAGCAUGGGCUUCACGAUGGUGUAGUAGUGGAGGGCAGAGGAGUGUGCCCGUGGGCGUGAGUCUGCGCCGGCGCCUUCCUCUUCGCUCUGAACCCCGCCACCUGCCGCGUUGUCGCUCUCUCUGUGUGUGCGUGUAUGUGGAUUAGUAACAUGCUGCGUCCGCGCGGCUGAUGAAAUUUGCCGGCGGCAUAUGUGCAUCUGCUUGCUGCGUGUGAGUUGCACUCACGAUAUGGGCCG
rnacentral:misc_RNA from 1 species